rnacentral:rRNA from 1 species
GGAUGAACGUUGGCGGCGUGCCUAAUACAUGCAAGUCGAACGAAGACUGUAGUAAUACUGUCUUAGUGGCGAACGGGUGAGUAACGCGUGGGUGACCUGCCCCGAAGUGUGGGAUAACAGUCCGAAAGGAUUGCUAAUACUGCAUAAUAUCCAAGAGAUUAGAUGCUUUUGGAUUAAAGGAGUAAUUCGCUUCGGGAGGGGCCCGCGUCCCAUCAGCUAGUUGGUAAGGUAAUGGCUUACCAAGGCGAUGACGGGUAGGGGACCUGAGAGGGUGGCCCCCCACAAUGGAACUGAAACACGGUCCAUACACCUACGGGUGGCAGCAGUAGGGAAUAUUAGUAAUGGGCGAAAGCCUGAACUAGCAACGCCGCGUGUGCGAAGAAGGCCUUCGGGUCGUAAAGCACUUUUUGAGAGGAUGAGGAAGGACGGUACUCUCAGAAUAAGUCUCGGCUAACUACGUGCCAGCAGCCGCGGUAACACGUAGGAGGCAAACGUUAUCCGGAUUUACUGGGCGUAAAGCGCGUGUAGGUGGUUUGGUAAGUAGGGCGUGAAAGCUCCUGGCUCAACUGGGAGAGGACGUUCUAAACUGCCAAGCUUGAGGAUGGUAGAGGGAGGUGGAAUUCCGGGUGUAGCGGUGGAAUGCGCAGAUAUCCGGAGGAACACCAGUGGCGAAGGCGGCCUCCUGGACCACUCCUGACACUCAGACGCGAAAGCUAGGGUAGCAAACGGGAUUAGAGACCCCGGUAGUCCUAGCCCUAAACGAUGUAGACUUGGCGUCGGUGGUUUAAUCGCCAUCGGUGUCGUAGCUAACGCGAUAAGUCUACCGCCUGGGGACUACGGCCGCAAGGUUAAAACUCAAAGGAAUUGACGGGUCCCCGCACAAGCAGCGGAGCGUGUGGUUUAAUUCGAUGCUACACGAAGAACCUUACCUGGGUUUGACAUAGAGGUAGUAGGGAAGCGAAAGCGGACCGACCCUUCGGGGAGCCUCUACAGGUGUUGCAUGGCUGUCGUCAGCUCGUGUCGUGAGAUGUUCGGUUAAGUCCCGCAACGAGCGCAACCCUUGUCGUUAAUUGCCAUCAUUGAGUUGGGCACUUUAAUGAGACUGCCGGUGACAAACCGGAGGAAGGUGGGGAUGACGUCAAGUCCUCAUGGCCCUUAUGGGUAGGGCUUCACACGUCAUACAAUGGUCGGUUCAGAGGGUAGCCAUCCGGUGACGGAGCGCCAAUCUCCAAAACCCUUCUCAGUUCGGAUUGGAGUCUGCAACCCGACUCCAUGAAGUUGGAUUCGCUAGUAAUCGCGCAUCAGCCAUGGCGCGGUGAAUACGUUCCCGGGCCU